rnacentral:rRNA from 1 species
AGACAGGUGCUGCAUGGCUGUCGUCAGCUCGUGUUGUGAAAUGUUGGGUUAAGUCCCGCAACGAGCGCAACCCUUAUCCUUGUUUGCCAGCACGUAAUGGUGGGAACUCCAGGGAGACUGCCGGUGAUAAACCGGAGGAAGGUGGGGACGACGUCAAGUCAUCAUGGCCCUUACGAGUAGGGCUACACACGUGCUACAAUGGCGCAUACAGAGGGCAGCAAGCUAGCGAUAGUGAGCGAAUCCCAAAAAGUGCGUCGUAGUCCGGAUUGGAGUCUGCAACUCGACUCCAUGAAGUCGGAAUCGCUAGUAAUCGUAGAUCAGAAUGCUACGGUGAAUACGUUCCCGGGCCUUGUACACACCGCCCGUCACACCAUGGGAGUGGGCUGCAAAAGAAGUGGGUAGUUUAACCUUUCGGGGAGGACGCUCACCACUUUGUGGUUCAUGACUGGGGUGAAGUCGUAACAAGGUAGCGCUAGGGGAACCUGGCGCUGGAUCACCUCCUUAUACGAUGAU